rfam:Schistosoma rodhaini strain Burundi genome assembly, scaffold: SROB_scaffold0002704
CUCUUAGACGAGUCCCAAAUAGGACGAAACGCGCGUCUUGGAU